AGCCAUCGUCAUUCAAAUGACGUUCCGGACGGAACACUUCCGGAUCUUUCCAGUACUUGGAAUCCUGGAAUACAGCAUGCAGAUUCAGGCUGACCAAACUUCCCUGGUCAUCAUUGGAAAAAAUACUAUACAUAAUGAGGAGGAGUGAGUGGUGCAAUGGUGCUGCAACGUUGAGCUUCCAUCAGAACUGAUUCAGUAUAAGGUAGACGUCUAUGAAAUCACCAGCUUCAUCGUCUGAUGGAUUUCGUUGUUGAUGAUCUUCAAUAGUUUCCUAUCUCCAACUUCGCCCAUCAUCUGAUCUUCAAUGGAAGUUUUGCCGAACCCCAAGUCUCUGAGAUGUCUCAUAGUGAAUUGACGCUGUUCUUGCCAAAAUUGACCCAUGACAAACAUAAUGCCUGGAGAUGGAUUCCCCAACAGCCAUCAUGACAGCUGAAUCUGGGCGACCGUUAAGGUCGUCAUUAAGCAUCGCUUCUUUCAUCGCUUCGUGACUGCAAACGGAAAUAACAGGCCUGCUGGGCCCCACGUACAAUCCCACCACAGGUCCGUAUACUUCGCUAAUUUUUUUCAUUGCCUUGUGUGGAUAUUGCGGAUCCCACGAUGAAAAAAAGGCAAAUAGCCUACCAGAGGUCAAUUUUCAGUUUUACCUGGUGGAAAGUUAUGUGGGCGUUUCGUCAUUUUUAAGAUGAAACCGAUGAGCAGAAUCGUUGCACAAAGUUCAAAAAUCAUUCUGUUUCGAUUUUCAGAAUGAAUCUCUCUGAAUUGACGAAUUGACGAAAUAAUCAAAAUGUAUUACUUCGGUCAAUAUUCCCAAUUGCGAUGCUUUAAUGUAUUACACGACAUUUUUUGUAUGUUUUGCUAUAUUGUAAACCAAUAGUGAAAUAACAAUAAAAUAAACUGACACACAACACUUGUA
rnacentral:lncRNA from 1 species